rnacentral:miRNA from 1 species
ACCUUUCCAUCCUGGGCAUUGG